UACAGAGACUGCAAGCGUUAUUCGGAUUCACUGGGCGUAAAGGGUGCGCAGGCGGCCAAGUGUGUGAGGCGUGAAAGCCUGGGGCUUAACUCCAGAAUUGCACCUCAAAACUACAUGGCUAGAGCAUUGGAGAGGGUAGCAGGAAUUCACGGUGUAGCAGUGAAAUGCGUAGAUAUCGUGAGGAAUACCAGAGGCGAAAGGCGGCUACCUGAACAAUUGCUGACGCUCAGGCACGAAAGCGUGGGAGCAAAGGG
rnacentral:rRNA from 1 species